UUAUAUUUAAGAACAUGCAAUCCAUGCAUCUCUCAAAGUGGCACAUGCCUGACUGCUGUGUUUAUCUUCUGCAUGAAAUGCCCUCCUUUCCAUCUCACUCACCGAAACUAGUGGCGUGGUUGUAGUACUUGAAGCUGCAAAAGAUGACGAGAGUGCAAUGAAUUGCCAAACUACCUAACUGCCAAUGGUAUAUACACUAACAAAAUAAAUUUCACUUAAACUUGUUUAGAAUUGGACCUGAAAAUAUGUAGCCAUUUUCCCUGUGCAUGCGUACUUUCCUGAAACACAAAUGAAUAUAGUAAUGUAGAUAGCUCAGAAUGUAAAUACAUGAUGCACUAAUAUUGUAUAUAUAACUAAUGCAAACAUAGAUUGGCUUUGCAUUGGUAUUCAAAAAAUAAACAAUAUAUAUUGUGUAAAGCAGUGAUGUAAACUCGAAAUACUGUUAAUAGGCAGUGCACGCAAGACAAUAUUAACAAAAAUUGAAGAUUUCAAUGCAUUGGGAUCUAAAAAAGUGGUCCAAGCAGCAUGCAGGAUGCAGCUAGGGCACGGUCGGCGAGAAGCAAUCAGCAAGCCUAAGAAAACAAGGCAAGAAACUUAAUAUUAGUAUAGGCAAUGGCAUAGUUCAGAAAAUCAUAAAGUUUAUUACACUAGUUGGCAUAGUUUAGAAAACAAGAAAGAACCUCACAACCAGGUAAAACCUACAGCCAACAUGCACUCAACGAUGAAGUGCAACCCAAAUAAGCAAUACACGGGGGCCCUGUAGGCAUGUACACGCAGAUGGAACUAUGGAUUGCUACUAGAAAAUAGAUGCAUGGUGAUAUGAACUGAGUAAUUUCUGAAAUUGCAAAAAUGGAAAAUACAGUGGAUGUUUGCCUGAAUUCUGGAACAGAUCGAAAUAAAUAAAUUACUUGGAAAUCAAGCAAACAUCCAUCGGUGUAUAGAGCAUCUAGAAUUUAAUUAAAUAAAAGAUCAUUGUACAGUGUGUGUGUUUGAAUUAAGCACCAUGUAGCCCUGCGAAAAUAGUCAUGACCAAAUCAAGGACAUGCAUAUUGGUAAGCUACGACUGUUUGGAUUGUAGCCCAAUAGUGAAUGCCAAAUUUUUGCAAAAACGUUGGCUUCUGUUUGAUUUCAGGCCAAAAUUACUUGUAAAAUAUACUUUCUUCUUCGACUUAUUUUUGGUGGAAAGAAGAAAAAGAAUCAGCUAUAUGGAAUAUUAUACUUCAGAUCUAGCAAAUCACAAUUGGUUUUGAAAUAGAAUAGUUCAGAUCUAGCAAACAAUACACAAGUGCAAGCACAUCUCGUACUGACAGAGCAACGCGUGGGUAAUUUGCAAUUUGCCAUAGAAAAGGGGUUGAAAGGUGGAG
rnacentral:lncRNA from 1 species